ACUUGGAUUGACACAAAAAAGGAACGAAUUGAAACUUGACGCCUUUCCGACAGUGUUCCACGAACAAAGCGAGCCAGCAACUUCGACACUGCAGGCAGCUCAACAGGGUCAAGCGCAAAAGGACCAGGUGCUGCUGAUCCAAGUCCGACCCUUCCAUGAAACGGCAUCAAAUGGCACGGCAACGGCAUGAAACGGCAACAAUGUACGUGUGUACACGGCAAUUUUGCUGAGAGACCUGGUUUUUACACUAAUGCCUUUACGACGCCUCUGACAAAUUAGGAUCUUCCAGAACAGUGCUUUCUUCAUCCAAGUUCAAGAAGUAAAGAGAAUGACUUCUUGGCUUCUACUGACA